UAUUUAUCAUGUUUCCGCAAACGGUUUGUGGGGUUGUGCAAUGGCGGGGACGUCUUCCACAGCUGAAAGAAAUAGUGCCUCAUCCUCAACACAGCGAAGCUCCCAAGUCCAACAGCGGGCCUAACACCUUAAUAAACAAGUGUUUUGGCCUUACUGAACACUUUAGACGCAUAAUCACACGGAUUUUCCGAGCUAUUGGAUUCGAGCUCUGAAAAUGGCGAUUUCGUCGCCUCCUAUACUCUCACCACUACUUCUAAAUACAAAAUCUAAUUUUGGUUCAUUAUCUCCUCCAUCCAUUCCUCUCGUGGAUAUCUGCUCCAGACCCACCAAUAAGCUAUCAUCGGCCCUCGUCGUCUUAUGUUACAAAUCGGGAAAUGGGUUGGCGAGUGAAGAGAAGAGAAUCUUACUUGAGCGGUAUGGUUACGAUGCCGACGAGUUCUUAUCUCAGGCUUCACCUAAGUUCAAGAAGAAAAAGGAACAGCCAAAAACGCGAAGAGGGCAGUCCGACUUACCAGAGGACCCUAAGCCUGCGCGGACUACGCAUAAGUUGCUUCAGGUUCUUGGAGGAAAGGCUCGAAGAAAGAAGCUGAUCUCACCAAAGGGCAUGGAUGUACGGCCCAUGAUGGAAGUGGUUAAAGGUGCAGCCUUUGACAUAUUACAGGCAGCUGGUGGCUGUCCUGCAUCCUUGAGGCCAGGACGCUGGUUAGACUUGUACAGUGGUACGGGUUCUGUUGGAAUUGAAGCACUCAGCCGAGGGUGUUCUGAGGUGCAUUUUGUUGAGAUGGAUCCUUGGGUUGUAUCAGAUGUUUUGCGCCCAAAUUUAGAGCAGACUGAGUUCCUUGAUGCUUCAGUCAUUCACACUGUACGUGUGGAAAAUUUCUUAGAACGUGCGGAGAAAUUUGUAGGUGACAGCAGUCCUUUUGAUUACAUUAGUGUCACCCCUCCAUAUACACAAGUGGAUUAUGGAGUGCUGAUGAGGCAAAUUUCAGAAUCACUCUUGAUUGGAGAGGAUACAUUUAUUGUAGUUGAGUAUCCUUCAAGAACUGUCAUGCUGGAUUCUUGUGGAUCCCUUGUGAAGUUGUUAAUGUUGAGCUUCUAUCACAUUGGCAUCCAAGCCAUGGUUACCACAUGUAUUGGUCAACAAACCAACCCCUUUGACAACUCAUCCAACAAUCCCCCAUAAAAUCAAAAUUUGAGCGAAUUAGAUUAUCUAGCCAUUAUCGCCUCGAGACUUGAAACUCUUGAUUGGCUGAAAGAAAAAGUAGAGAUGCUUGAAGCCUCUGCAUUCACUAAAGUCAAGAAGAUGAGGGAGGACUAUCAUAGAUGCUAUUAUGAAGAAGAAAAAAGUGAAGACGAGCAUGACGACGCAGACGCAGCAGAUUUCGUUGCACCAAAAUUGAAUUUACAAAAUUCAAUGGAGGUGACCCUCGAGGAUGGUUUUUAAAAGUAGAAAAAUGCUUUAAAUAUUAUGAUACACUUGAAGAAGAGAAGGUGGACGUGGUGUCAAUGGCUUUGGAAGGAUGCCCUCGCUCUGUUCGCUUGGAUCAACCGUGAAUGAACAUUGCAUUCCUGGGAUGAACUCAUUACAGUUUUUCAAGAAAAUUUCGAGCCCCUAGAAUACGUGAAUCCUGAUGAUUACCUUUAUAGUAUCAAACAAGAAGGCUCAGUACAAGAGUAUCGCUUGGAGUUCGCUAAGAGAUCUGCCCGAGUAAAGCACUGGCCUGAGCACUAUUUGCUUGGAACAUUUCUGAAUAGGUUGCAUGGAGAAUUGAGAGCUGACGUGCGAAUACAUAAGACUAAAUCAGUAUAUCAAGCAAUCAGUCUUGCCCUAGAGUUUGAAGGCAAGCUGCAACCAUGAGGGCCUAAGCCCAAUCUGAUGCAAACCCAAAAUCAGUCCCCUAAUGCUCUAGCCUCCUUCACACGUGAGCAAAAACACACCACAAAAUCUUCAUUGUCAAACAUGUAUUCAAACUCGUCCAGAUUUCUUGCUUUGUCGGCCUCCACGACUAGAAACAUGAGUUUGAUGGCAUCCAAAUUUCCUCCCAUGGACGCCGAAUAGCAGAGGUGAAGAGACAAGGGUCUCUAUUUUCAGUGUGGAGAUUUUUUUCAGGCUUGAGCAUCGCUGCAAGGGAUCCUUUGCUUUAUGGGAAAUUACAGCCGAAGGUGUGGAAGUCAUGUCUCCUCUUGAAGAUGCUGACAAUGGCGAAACUGAACCUGAAAAUGCUGAGAUUUCAUUAAAUGCUAUUCUAGGAAGCAACUUUAGAUCUGCUAUGAAGCUAGGAGGUAUGUUGGGUGAGUGUGAGGUGCUGUUGUUGGUAGAUAGUAGGUUAGGUCCACCCACAAUUUUAUAUCUGAUUCAUUAAUACAAGAACUCCAUUUGCCAAUCCAGUCUAUUUCUUCUUUCAGGGUCUAGAUUAGGGGGAUAGUUGCAUAGGGCGUUGCAACCGCAUCUGUAGAGAAGUGGAAAUUCAGCUUAUUGGAUUGACAAUCAAGGAAGAUUUUUUCCCCUUUUCAUUGGAAGGGGCUGAUCUGGGUCUUAGUAUUAAAUAGCUAGCGUCCCUAAACAUGGUGCAAGCCAAUUGGAAUUAACUUUUUAUGAUUUUUUGGUUGAAUGGCAAGAGGUAUAAGCUUCAGGGACUCCCUAAUAACACUAGAGAUGCUCAGUUCAACUCAAUUCAACAAAUCGAAGCUUUCGCUAACUCUAAUUCAUUCCCAAGUUCCGACCUAGAACCAGUGUUUGAAGAGUUUCCCUCUGUUUUUGAAAAAUUUAUUAGUUUGCCUCCAUUUAGAAUCCAUUCACAUGCCAUUCCCUUACUUCCAGGGACUAGUCCUCCUAAUUUACGAUCGUACAGUACCUACAUUAUCAAAAGGAAGAAACUGAAAAGCAAGUCGAAGAAUUGCUGAAGAAGGGGUUCAUCCAACCUAGGUCUAGUCCUUUCGCAAGCCCAAUCUCACUGGUUACAAAGAAAGAUGGGUUGUGGUGAUUUUGUGUGGAUUAUUGGAAAUUGAAUAACAUUACAAUUCUUGAUAAGUAUCCAAUUCCUAACAUCGAUGAGUUAUUAGAUGAAUUACACGAAGCAGUUUACUAUUCCAAACUUGACCUCCAUUCGAGAUACUAACAAAUUUGUAUGACGCCUGAGGAUAUUCACAAAAUUGCUUUUCAUACUCAUUCCAGACACUAUGAAUUUACAGUUAUGUCUUUUGGUUUAACUAAUGCCUCGACCACGUUUCAAGCUGCUAUGAAUGAUUUGUUUCAUCCUUAAUUACGGAAGUUUGUAUCAAUUUUUUUUAUUACAUUUUGGUAUACAAUUCCACUUUUCAACCGCAUCGGGAUCAUUUAACACAGUUUUGUGAGCCUUGCAGGAAAAUGUGGUGUCAAAUUAAAAAAAAUGCUUUAUUGGGAAGCUAUGGUUUUGCUUUCUAGGGCACAAAAUUUCUGCCUAGGGAGUUGAAGUUGAGGCUGAAAAGGUGGAGGUAGUGCGAGAAUUGCCCAUUCCUACAAAUGUGAAGGAGUUGCGUGGUUUCGUGGGCCUAGUUGGGUGUUACCUGCACUUUGUGAAGAAUUUGGGGAUCAUUGCCAGCCCACUUAAUUAACUAAGGAUGCCUUCUUAUGGUUUGAACAAGCUCAAGAGGCCUUUAAUCACCUUAAGCUUGCAUUGAUGAUGGCACUUGUCUUACAGUUGUGUAAUUUUGAGAAAGAAUUUACAAUUGAAUGUGGUGCCCCAAAAAAAGGGAUUAGAGCUAUCAUUAUGCAAAACAAUCAUCUCAUUGCUUACUUCAGUAAAGGGUUCUCUGUCUCUAAUCGCUACAAGUUUGCCUGUGAUCAUGAACUUUUAGCAUUAGUUCCUAAAAGAUAGUGCUAUUACCUCCUUGGGGGGCAUUUCUUUGUAAGAACUGAUCAUGCUAGCCUUCAAUAUCUUCUACAACAAUGCAUCACAACUAACACUCAACAACAGUUGAUUAUCAAACUCUUGCCCUUUAAUUUUACUAUCAUCCACAAGGCAAGUGUGGAUAAUAAGGGGGCAGAUGCCUUGUCACAACAACCCGAACAUGUAGAUUUUUUUUCCAAAUGGCAGUGCCUUUCACCUUUGAGUUGCAUGAUCUCAUGUCUGAGCUGGCACUAGAUCCCUUCACGAAUGAGAUACUUUGGAUUUGCAAAGGGAUCUGUCUUCUCGACCAAGAUUCCACUUGGUUGACCAAAAACUCUUAUAUGAUAACCGGGUUGUCAUCCCUUACACAUCAUGAUUAAGACUGACAUUACUAGUAGAAGCUCACUCAUCUGCUGUUGGUUGGCAUGGUGGUUUUCUUAAAACAUUUAAGCGGCUCAUAGAGAACUUUUUAUUGGCCUUCCAUUAAAAUAGAUGUGAAGGCAUAUGUGCGACAUUGUAUCACUUGUCAGCAUAAUAAGUAUCAAACCUUGGCACCAGUAGGUCUUUUUCAACCCUUAUCAGUACCCUCACAGAUUUGGGAAGACCUCUCCCUUGACUUCAUCACCAGCCUUCCAAAGUUGGGUGGUUUUGAGUUUAUAUUGGCUGUAGUAGAUCAUUUGAAUAUGCCUACUUCAUUGCUCUUGUACAUCCUUACAUUGCAAAGAAGUUCAUAGCAAUCUUUUGCGAGGAUCCGAUUGCAUGGGGUGCCACGCUCAAUUGUAUUUGAUAGUGACCUUGUCUUGAUGAGCUCUUUUUAGCAAGAAUUAGUCCGGCUAAGCCAGACCAAGUUAAAUGAGUACUGUCUAUCAUCCUCAAACGGAUGGUCAAAUAGAGGUAAUCAAUCAGGGCCUCAAAGCCUAUUUGUGAUGUUUUGCACAUGAGCAACCUUGACUAUGGCACAAGUUUCUUUGCUGGGCAGAAUAUUCGUACAUAACAGGUCAUCAUACAUUAACAAACUCCUCUCCAUUCAAGUUAAUGUAUGGUAGAGAUCCACCUCCCUUGCUUCCUUAUGUGAAAUGCAAAACUCCUAUAAUAGACUUAGAAGAUCAAUUGGAAACUAGAGAUGUAAUGCUCAAACUCUUAAAGGAUAAUUUGCGCAAAGCCCAAGAUCGGAUAAAGGCUUAUGCUAACAAGCAUAGGAGAGAAGGUGAGUAUGCUGAGGCUUGAGGGUGAUGUGGUGUGGUUGCGAGUACAACUUUUUUGCCAACAAUCACUUACCAAGUAGAAGUUUGAAAAAUUGUCACCUCGCAGCUUUGGCCCCUACAAGAUACUUAGGAAAAUUGGGAAGGUAGCCUAUGAAUUAGACCUCCCUUCAAAUGCGUGAAUUCACCCCAUUUUUCAUGUGUCUCUUUGACAGCCCACUCUUGGGGUUGAUCCGCCCAUUAUCCCAGCCUCCUUACCACUACUUGUUGAUUUCAAUUGCAUGUGGUGCCUGACCAAGUUUUAGAUCAUCGCUGGACUCGCCAUAACUUGCUGGAACUGUUCGUGGAAUGGCAUGGACAACCUGUGAAAGAGUCUUGCUGGAUAACUGAUAGACAGUUCGGGCGGACUCUCUUGGCAAUUUAUGGACCAACAUGGGCCCAAAAAAAGAGGAGAUGAGAAAUUUACACAAGGCAGGCGCUGUUGAUUUGGUAGGAAAUUGUUUCAUCAUGGUGGUUCGACAGAAUUUGUGAUGUGGCAGUCGAAUAGCAGGCCAAGCUACCCCUCUCGUGAUUAUAGGUGGCAUUGAGCUCUAUGUUUCUGUUCAUGGUCUGCUACAACAUGCUGAUUAUCGGUCGCCGGUAGAAUUGAUCCCUGUUAUUGUGUCACUUGAGCGAGAUCUAUGUUUUGAUCUUUUUCUCUUUCUUUACUUCCGUUAAAUUUACUUGAUGAUCCUGAUAUAUUACACAAUUCUGUAAUGCUGAUUAUAAAUAUAAUGUGGAAUCCCAUGAGCUGAAAAUAUGAUUAAUUGCAGAGCAAGUUCUCUACAAA